rnacentral:rRNA from 1 species
UGCCAGCAGCCGCGGUAAUACGGAGGGGGCAAGCGUUGUUCGGAAUUACUGGGCGUAAAGGGCGCGUAGGCGGUAUGCCAUGUCAGGGGUGAAAGGCCUGGGCUCAACCCAGGAAUUGCCUUUGAAACUGGCAAACUAGAGUCCGAUAGAGGAUGGCGGAAUUCCCAGUGUAGAGGUGAAAUUCGUAGAUAUUGGGAAGAACACCAGUGGCGAAGGCGGCCAUCUGGAUCGGCACUGACGCUGAGGCGCGAAAGCGUGGGGAGCAAACAGGAUUAGAUA